rnacentral:rRNA from 1 species
CUUUGUUGCCAGCGAUUUGGUCGGGAACUCAAAGGAGACUGCCGUUGAUAAAGCGGGGGAAGGUGGGGACGACGUCAAGUCAUCAUGGCCCUUACGACCAGGGCUACACACGUGCUACAAUGGCGUAUACAAAGGGAAGCGAAGGUGCGAGCUGGAGCGGAUCUCAUAAAGUACGUCUAAGUUCGGAUUGGAGUCUGCAACUCGACUCCAUGAAGUCGGAAUCGCUAGUAAUCGUAGAUCAGAAUGCUACGGUGAAUACGUUCCCGGGCCUUGUACACACCGCCCGUCACACCAUGGGAGUGGGUUGCACCAGAAGUAGAUAGCUUAACCGCGAGGGGGGCGUUUACCACGGUGUGAUUCAUGACUGGGGUGAAG